rnacentral:misc_RNA from 1 species
AAAGUCGUAACAAGGUUUCCGUAGGUGAACCUGCGGAAGGAUCAUUACAAAUCAUAGUGUGGGGUGGUUGGGGGGGGGUGUUGUGGUAGAGCGGUCUAAAAGCUGCCUGCGUCACGCCUCGCCUCUCUCCCCUUAUACGUUUGCGCGUGUUGUGUUUGACAGAGUAAUAUAUAUAUGAUGUACCCCAUCAUCAAGUUAUAGACAACUUUUAACAAUGGAUCUCUUGGCUCUU